GGUUAAGCGACUAAGCGUACACGGUGGAUGCCCUGGCAGUCAGAGGCGAUGAAGGACGUGCUAAUCUGCGAUAAGCGUCGGUAAGGUGAUAUGAACCGUUAUAACCGGCGAUUUCCGAAUGGGGAAACCCAGUGUGAUUCGUCACACUAUCAUUAACUGAAUCCAUAGGUUAAUGAGGCGAACCGGGGGAACUGAAACAUCUAAGUACCCCGAGGAAAAGAAAUCAACCGAGAUUCCUCCAGUAGCGGCGAGCGAACGGGGAGCAGCCCAGAGCCUGAAUCAGUGUGUGUGUUAGUGGAAGCGUCUGGAAAGGCGUGCGAUACAGGGUGACAGCCCCGUACACAAAAAUGCACAUACUGUGAGCUCGAUGAGUAGGGCGGGACACGUGGUAUCCUGUCUGAAUAUGGGGGGACCAUCCUCCAAGGCUAAAUACUCCUGACUGACCGAUAGUGAACCAGUACCGUGAGGGAAAGGCGAAAAGAACCCCGGCGAGGGGAGUGAAAAAGAACCUGAAACCGUGUACGUACAAGCAGUGGGAGCACGCUUAGGCGUGUGACUGCGUACCUUUUGUAUAAUGGGUCAGCGACUUAUAUUCUGUAGCAAGGUUAACCGAAUAGGGGAGCCGAAGGGAAACCGAGUCUUAACUGGGCGUUAAGUUGCAGGGUAUAGACCCGAAACCCGGUGAUCUAGCCAUGGGCAGGUUGAAGGUUGGGUAACACUAACUGGAGGACCGAACCGACUAAUGUUGAAAAAUUAGCGGAUGACUUGUGGCUGGGGGUGAAAGGCCAAUCAAACCGGGAGAUAGCUGGUUCUCCCCGAAAGCUAUUUAGGUAGCGCCUCGUGAAUUCAUCUCCGGGGGUAGAGCACUGUUUCGGCAAGGGGGUCAUCCCGACUUACCAACCCGAUGCAAACUGCGAAUACCGGAGAAUGUUAUCACGGGAGACACACGGCGGGUGCUAACGUCCGUCGUGAAGAGGGAAACAACCCAGACCGCCAGCUAAGGUCCCAAAGUCAUGGUUAAGUGGGAAACGAUGUGGGAAGGCCCAGACAGCCAGGAUGUUGGCUUAGAAGCAGCCAUCAUUUAAAGAAAGCGUAAUAGCUCACUGGUCGAGUCGGCCUGCGCGGAAGAUGUAACGGGGCUAAACCAUGCACCGAAGCUGCGGCAGCGACGCUUAUGCGUUGUUGGGUAGGGGAGCGUUCUGUAAGCCUGUGAAGGUGUGCUGUGAGGUAUGCUGGAGGUAUCAGAAGUGCGAAUGCUGACAUAAGUAACGAUAAAGCGGGUGAAAAGCCCGCUCGCCGGAAGACCAAGGGUUCCUGUCCAACGUUAAUCGGGGCAGGGUGAGUCGACCCCUAAGGCGAGGCCGAAAGGCGUAGUCGAUGGGAAACAGGUUAAUAUUCCUGUACUUGGUGUUACUGCGAAGGGGGGACGGAGAAGGCUAUGUUGGCCGGGCGACGGUUGUCCCGGUUUAAGCGUGUAGGCUGGUUUUCCAGGCAAAUCCGGAAAAUCAAGGCCGAGGCGUGAUGACGAGGCACUACGGUGCUGAAGCAACAAAUGCCCUGCUUCCAGGAAAAGCCUCUAAGCAUCAGGUAACAUCAAAUCGUACCCCAAACCGACACAGGUGGUCAGGUAGAGAAUACCAAGGCGCUUGAGAGAACUCGGGUGAAGGAACUAGGCAAAAUGGUGCCGUAACUUCGGGAGAAGGCACGCUGAUACGUAGGUGAAGCGACUUGCUCGUGGAGCUGAAAUCAGUCGAAGAUACCAGCUGGCUGCAACUGUUUAUUAAAAACACAGCACUGUGCAAACACGAAAGUGGACGUAUACGGUGUGACGCCUGCCCGGUGCCGGAAGGUUAAUUGAUGGGGUUAGCGCAAGCGAAGCUCUUGAUCGAAGCCCCGGUAAACGGCGGCCGUAACUAUAACGGUCCUAAGGUAGCGAAAUUCCUUGUCGGGUAAGUUCCGACCUGCACGAAUGGCGUAAUGAUGGCCAGGCUGUCUCCACCCGAGACUCAGUGAAAUUGAACUCGCUGUGAAGAUGCAGUGUACCCGCGGCAAGACGGAAAGACCCCGUGAACCUUUACUAUAGCUUGACACUGAACAUUGAGCCUUGAUGUGUAGGAUAGGUGGGAGGCUUUGAAGUGUGGACGCCAGUCUGCAUGGAGCCGACCUUGAAAUACCACCCUUUAAUGUUUGAUGUUCUAACGUGGACCCGUGAUCCGGGUUGCGGACAGUGUCUGGUGGGUAGUUUGACUGGGGCGGUCUCCUCCUAAAGAGUAACGGAGGAGCACGAAGGUUGGCUAAUCCUGGUCGGACAUCAGGAGGUUAGUGCAAUGGCAUAAGCCAGCUUGACUGCGAGCGUGACGGCGCGAGCAGGUGCGAAAGCAGGUCAUAGUGAUCCGGUGGUUCUGAAUGGAAGGGCCAUCGCUCAACGGAUAAAAGGUACUCCGGGGAUAACAGGCUGAUACCGCCCAAGAGUUCAUAUCGACGGCGGUGUUUGGCACCUCGAUGUCGGCUCAUCACAUCCUGGGGCUGAAGUAGGUCCCAAGGGUAUGGCUGUUCGCCAUUUAAAGUGGUACGCGAGCUGGGUUUAGAACGUCGUGAGACAGUUCGGUCCCUAUCUGCCGUGGGCGCUGGAGAACUGAGGGGGGCUGCUCCUAGUACGAGAGGACCGGAGUGGACGCAUCACUGGUGUUCGGGUUGUCAUGCCAAUGGCACUGCCCGGUAGCUAAAUGCGGAAGAGAUAAGUGCUGAAAGCAUCUAAGCACGAAACUUGCCCCGAGAUGAGUUCUCCCUGACCCUUUAAGGGUCCUGAAGGAACGUUGAAGACGACGACGUUGAUAGGCCGGGUGUGUAAGCGCAGCGAUGCGUUGAGCUAACCGGUACUAAUGAACCGUGAGGCUUAACCUU
rnacentral:rRNA from 1 species